rnacentral:rRNA from 1 species
GACGAACGCUGGCGGCGUGCUUAACACAUGCAAGUCGAGCGAGGAGCUUGCUCCUAGCGGCGAACGGGUGAGUAACACGUGGGCAACCUGCCCCAAGCUCUGGAAUAACUCCGGGAAACCGGGGCUAAUGCCGGAUAUGACACUACCGGGCAUCUGGUGGUGUGGAAAGAUUUAUCGGCUUGGGAUGGGCCCGCGGCCUAUCAGCUUGUUGGUGGGGUAAUGGCCUACCAAGGCGACGACGGGUAGCCGGCCUGAGAGGGCGAUCGGCCACACUGGGACUGAGACACGGCCCAGACUCCUACGGGAGGCAGCAGUGGGGAAUAUUGAGCAAUGGGCGAAAGCCUGACGCAGCGACGCCGCGUGAGGGAUGACGGCC